GAUGAACGCUGGCGGCGUGCCUAAUACAUGCAAGUCGAGCGAACAGACGAGGAGCUUGCUCCUCUGACGUUAGCGGCGGACGGGUGAGUAACACGUGGAUAACCUACCUAUAAGACUGGGAUAACUUCGGGAAACCGGAGCUAAUACCGGAUAAUAUAUUGAACCGCAUGGUUCAAUAGUGAAAGACGGUUUUGCUGUCACUUAUAGAUGGAUCCGCGCCGCAUUAGCUAGUUGGUAAGGUAACGGCUUACCAAGGCAACGAUGCGUAGCCGCCCUGAAAGGGUGAUCCGCCACCCGGGAACUGAGACACGGUCCAGACUCCUACGGGAGGCAGCAGUAGGGAAUCUUCCGCAAUGGGCGAAAGCCUGACCGAGCAACGCCGCGUGAGUGAUGAAGGCCUUCGGAUCGUAAAACUCUGUUAUUAGGGAAGAACAAAUUUGUAAGUAACUAUGCACGUCUUGACGGUACCUAAUCAGAAAGCCAGGGCUAACUACGUA
rnacentral:rRNA from 1 species